CCUUUAGAUGACCUAGCCGCCAUUCACCGUAUAAAGCCCCUAUUCCCUAACUCUCUCCACUCCCCAUUCUCCACACUCUCUUCCCACCGUUCACAAAGUCGUCGUCCUCUCAGCCCCUGGAAUCGCGGACAGCACCUUCGCGGCGGCCCUUCCUCGUCGUGGUUCCAUCUUCUCAGCGCGGUCCUCCCUCAGUCCCUCCCUUCCUCGGUGCGGCUCUUUUUCUCCCUUCGUUCGUCGUCUUCAAUGCACUGCAGCCGCUGUCUCCUCUACGCCGUGUCUCUCUAGCCUCCUUGCACUGGAGCCACCGUCUCCUCCACGCACAAGCAGGCGCCGUCGUCGUCCAUGACAUUGCCUCCAAGUUAGGUGAUCUUUAAUUCUGUUUUUGUGAUUUUGUGAAUUGCAUAAUUAUGCAGUUUGUUGCUCACUGCGUCCUGCUCAGUGCUCACAGCUUCACCACCACCUCUGCCUCUGGUCUACCUCUGUUCCUCCGUUGUCAAUGAUUUUAAUACAUGUUUUGAUUUUUGAUUGAUGAAAUUGCUAUGGGUUGAAUUCUGUUAAUGUAAAAUUAGGAUUAGGUUUAGGGUUUGAAUUCUGUAAUUGAUAAAUUUGGAUCGAGUUAGAUUCUAGGGUUUGUGAAAUUGAGGCUAGGGUAUGUGAAAUUGGGACAUUUGUAUCUUAUAAUGAAUUUAGGGUUUGGUCUCUGUUAAAUGUAGUUUUUUUUUU